rnacentral:tRNA from 1 species
AGCAGCCUGGCCUAGUGGAUAGGGCACGGGCCUGGGAGUCCGAAGGACCUGGGUUCUAAUCCCAGCUCUGCCA